CUUGGGGGGUGCUUGGUUUGAGUUCUUUGGCUUCCUGCCACAAUUUAAAUCUGGGAGAUUCCUUGUGGGUUAGAUUUUAGACUUGGUGGUGUCUGCUGGCAGGUUGUCAUGGUUGGGUUUGGUUCUGAUGAGCUGCAGAGCUUCCAGUGACUUUGGUUUGAGUUAGGUCUGCAAAUCGGAACUCUUCUAAUUCUCCAGCUGGGCACCCCAGUCAAGCUUAACAUAUUUUUAGUUUUCCUCUGUUGUAUAGUUAUAUUAGUAUGUUUUUUGUGCUGCUGGAAAUGGCAGUCACUUUGGCAAAGCCUUGGUAAGGUGGAGUCGGUACAGAGCAAAAGCCAAACCCCUAAUGAGAUCCUUCUUCCCCCUCACCUCUCCCUGGAAGUCUGUAGAUCCUUACAAAAGAGAAGUACCUUUGCUUUAUGGAUGCACAAACAGAAUAGAUUUAAGUAAUCCUUCCCUGAACUGGUGGGGCUGAGCUGUUUUGAUUGCCGUGACAUGUGUGGGCCUCCUGCUGCGCCGCUUGGAUUUACGGUGCAGGCAGAAGAUUAAUCUCUAGGUCAUCACAUUUAAGUCUUUUGAGGACAGACCGAGAGGAAUUUUCUGUGCUGAAUGUUUCCGAGGUGCUGUUGGUGCAGAAGGCCCCUUCCAAGCACCCAGGUAAUGGCUCCUGCCAUGCUGUGCGUGUAGGCCUCACGGGGCCGAGCCACAGGACCACGGGCUGCAGGACAGCCCCUGCUGUCUGCCAGGCCUCUUCCACCCUCCUGCUGGGAGAGGAGAGGUCCUGGCACACGCCAAACCCGGAGGUGGAGGUCGGGGACACCCCUCUGUGGGUACUGCAGCCCCAAGGGCCCACGGGGCUGCUGCUGCUCCCCAUCGGAGCCCUGAUGAUGCUGCCAAGAGGCCAGGCUCAUCCCCGGGGCUGAGACCCAGCUCUGCCAGGCACCCCAAGGGACCCCAGUGUCCUCCCAGAAGAUGAUUUUUAAGGUUUCGGUAAUUAAUGCACAAAUUCUGCUGUAGCUGGGGUAAGUCCCCGUGUAUGAGAGGCAGCAGAGCUCUGGGACACGUGCCUCUGCAGGAGCAUGUGUUGUGACAACUCCCAUAUGGUGCCACCUACACGAGGAAGUGUAAUUUCUGCCUCAUCAGCCUUAAUCCUUCCUCAGCGAGAACGUUUAACGUUUUGAAAGGCACUUGGCUAUUGACCAGUCCUCCACCACACGCGUGUAUGAUAACGUCGCUCCAGGUCUGUCGCAUCACUUCCCGAGUCUGUUGACACCUUUACAGCACUGAGGUCUCUGCUGCUCCCCAAACACCAUCACCACAGACGUGUUCCAGAAAUGUUUAAUCCGCAGUGCGUUGGGCAGGGAAAGCUCUGCUCAGGGAGAGCAGGAAUCCAUCCUCCUGUGAGCACCUGGGCAGGGCUCGUUCUCUCCUCAGCUGGCCCCUUUUCCUACAUUGAAGGUUUCGGAGAGCUGUCACGAAGAGAUUAUCCCAAAGUACAAAUCAGAUCUGUAAGAAGAGAUUAAUUUUUUUUUUUUUAAACCAAAUACAUCCCAGGCUUGCGGAGUUUUUUUGUUGUUUUUU